UACAGAGGUCCCAAGCGUUGUUCGGAUUCACUGGGCGUAAAGGGUGCGUAGGUGGUGAGGUAAGUCGGAUGUGAAAUCUCCGGGCUCAACCCGGAAAUGGCAUUGGAAACUACCUUGCUAGAGGAUUUGAGGGGGGAUUGGAAUACUUGGUGUAGCAGUGAAAUGCGUAGAUAUCAAGUGGAACACCAGUGGCGAAGGCGAAUCCCUGGAAAAUACCUGACACUGAGGCACGAAAGCGUGGGGAGCAAAC
rnacentral:rRNA from 1 species